UACGUAGGGGGCAAGCGUUGUCCGGAUUUAUUGGGCGUAAAGAGCGUGUAGGCGGUCAGAUAGGUCCGUUGUGAAAACUCGAGGCUCAACCUCGAGACGCCGAUGGAAACCAUCUGACUAGAGUCCGGAAGAGGAGAGUGGAAUUCCUGGUGUAGCGGUGAAAUGCGUAGAUAUCAGGAGGAACACCUGUGGCGAAAGCGGCGCACUGGACCACAACUGACGCUGAGGCGCGAAAGCUAGGGGAGCAAACAGG
rnacentral:rRNA from 1 species